rnacentral:rRNA from 1 species
AAAACCGUUCGUAGUCCGGAUUGGAGUCUGCAACUCGACUCCAUGAAGUCGGAAUCGCUAGUAAUCGCGAAUCAGAAUGUCGCGGUGAAUACGUUCCCGGGCCUUGUACACACCGCCCGUCACACCAUGGGAGUUGGCUGCACCAGAAGUAGAUAGUCUAACCUUCGGGAGGACGUUUACCACGGUGUGGUUAAUGACUGGGGUGAAGUCGUAACAAGGUAGCCGUAGGGGAACCUGCGGCUGGAUCACCUCCUUU